AUAAUCGAGCACGAGGUGGUGUAGAGAUAAUUACGCAUGCGCGUAGAUGCUGGGCAGUACAUAAUGCAGUAGGCGGGGCAAGCGGAGUACCUCGAUUAACCUUGUUUAACUACCUUAAACAUCAUUUAAUCUACUGUACGUCAAGUAAUAAAUAUGCAAGCCAUGCACCCAAUUAGAUACCAUUACCACUACGAAGAUAUACGUCAUUCUAGGUACUGCUGCAAGCGAUGAGUACAGCUACCCAUUACCGCAACGCUCCUUGGAGGGUGAGCCGGACCAUGACUGAAGGCCGUUAAUAUGGAUAGGAAGCCCCUCUAAUUAAUUAGAGGGGUGCAACCUCGCUAAUUAGAUAAUGAUGAAGCGUUUCUAAUAAUUACGAUGCUCCCCUAAUUAAGUACUUGGGGGUAAAGAGGUGGCCUAGCCAACAGUCAUAGCCCAUCGGACGCAUGUCCUACCCCCAAGGAAUUAAUACAUCGAUUGCGUAAAGGUAAGUAUGCCACCUCAGCGGGGCAGUAUAUUAUAGAGCAGUACAUUAUAGAGCAGAGCAGGGCAGUAUAGUAUAAAGCAGAGCAGGGCAUUAUAUUAUAGAGCCGUACAUUAUAGACCGAAUAGCCGCGGUUAUGAUCUCAUACGUAGUACCACCCACCGCGGAACCAAAAUCCAAUUAAUUUUAAAUUACUUUUAUUAUCAGCUCCUAGCAAAGAAAGAUGCGUAGCUAAGAAGCAGUAGCAGUUUUCUGCAGGCAACUUUGUUGCAAACUAGUCAAGAAUAGCUACUCUGCCAGGAUCUCUAAGUUUCGAACGGAGGAGUAUACCAGCCAAGGCCCCAGUGAAGGAUCAUUUCCCAACCUUUGCCUCUAGCAAAGAAAGACGCAUAACUUGGAAACAGUGACAGUUUUCUUUAUUCAACUUCUUAGCAAAGUAGUCUACAGUAGUUACUGUGUCAGGAUCUCCUGGUUUUCAACGAAACAGUCAACCCGCCAAGGACCAGAGCAAGGGAUCACUUCAGAGGUAAGCUUUGUGUGCGUAUAUAGCAAGCAUUAUGUAGCUAGUAUAAGCCUUCAUAAGCCUUUGAGCUGAUUUAAUAUGCUUAUGCACUUGCCUAGAUAGUUUAUGAGUGUGUGAAGUAUACUUGUGUAGAAGCUGAGUUAGUUUAGAGCCUGUUUUUAGAGUGUAGUGUACAGUGUUUGAUAUUCAAUUUAUUUGUUUCGGUGUGGCAAAGAAAGAUGCACCCCUUAGUAACAGUAACGGUUCUCUUCAAGCUGCCUUGUAGUUUUAUCUGAACAGUCGAAGAGUCAACCAGCCAAGGACAGAGCGAGAGAUUACUUUAGAGCUGUGAAGAAUGCUGAACACCGAAAAGUUUGGGCCAACGGAUUGGUUGAGAUGGUGGGAGUCCAUAGGCAGGCCAGGAGUGGAACUGCUUACAGCACCACCCCAAAGGUUAAGGUGUGGUUUCCUCCGUCUACCUGGCAUACCGGGCACCACGACACAGACAGGGUUGCCUUGUCCGGUAAAGGCGAGGGAGUACAGCUGGGUGUUAAUGGUGGGCGGCAGUGUGUUGUGGCGGCCCCAUUUCUGGAACUCUGUGUCGUAGUACAGCCAAGAGGGGUACAUAAACUUUUUUUUUUUUUUU